AAAUUGAAGAGUUUGAUCAUGGCUCAGAUUGAACGCUGGCGGCAGGCCUAACACAUGCAAGUCGAACGGUAACAGGAAGCAGCUUGCUGCUUUGCUGACGAGUGGCGGACGGGUGAGUAAUGUCUGGGAAACUGCCUGAUGGAGGGGGAUAACUACUGGAAACGGUGGCUAAUACCGCAUAACGUCGCAAGACCAAAGAGGGGGACCUUCGGGCCUCUUGCCAUCAGAUGUGCCCAGAUGGGAUUAGCUUGUUGGUGAGGUAACGGCUCACCAAGGCGACGAUCCCUAGCUGGUCUGAGAGGAUGACCAGCCACACUGGAACUGAGACACGGUCCAGACUCCUACGGGAGGCAGCAGUGGGGAAUAUUGCACAAUGGGCGCAAGCCUGAUGCAGCCAUGCCGCGUGUAUGAAGAAGGCCUUCGGGUUGUAAAGUACUUUCAGCGGGGAGGAAGGUGUUGUGGUUAAUAACCACAGCAAUUGACGUUACCCGCAGAAGAAGCACCGGCUAACUCCGUGCCAGCAGCCGCGGUAAUACGGAGGGUGCAAGCGUUAAUCGGAAUUACUGGGCGUAAAGCGCACGCAGGCGGUCUGUCAAGUCGGAUGUGAAAUCCCCGGGCUCAACCUGGGAACUGCAUUCGAAACUGGCAGGCUUGAGUCUUGUAGAGGGGGGUAGAAUUCCAGGUGUAGCGGUGAAAUGCGUAGAGAUCUGGAGGAAUACCGGUGGCGAAGGCGGCCCCCUGGACAAAGACUGACGCUCAGGUGCGAAAGCGUGGGGAGCAAACAGGAUUAGAUACCCUGGUAGUCCACGCCGUAAACGAUGUCUACUUGGAGGUUGUGCCCUUGAGGCGUGGCUUCCGGAGCUAACGCGUUAAGUAGACCGCCUGGGGAGUACGGCCGCAAGGUUAAAACUCAAAUGAAUUGACGGGGGCCCGCACAAGCGGUGGAGCAUGUGGUUUAAUUCGAUGCAACGCGAAGAACCUUACCUGGUCUUGACAUCCACAGAACUUUCCAGAGAUGGAUUGGUGCCUUCGGGAACUGUGAGACAGGUGCUGCAUGGCUGUCGUCAGCUCGUGUUGUGAAAUGUUGGGUUAAGUCCCGCAACGAGCGCAACCCUUAUCCUUUGUUGCCAGCGAUUAGGUCGGGAACUCAAAGGAGACUGCCAGUGAUAAACUGGAGGAAGGUGGGGAUGACGUCAAGUCAUCAUGGCCCUUACGACCAGGGCUACACACGUGCUACAAUGGCGCAUACAAAGAGAAGCGACCUCGCGAGAGCAAGCGGACCUCAUAAAGUGCGUCGUAGUCCGGAUUGGAGUCUGCAACUCGACUCCAUGAAGUCGGAAUCGCUAGUAAUCGUGGAUCAGAAUGCCACGGUGAAUACGUUCCCGGGCCUUGUACACACCGCCCGUCACACCAUGGGAGUGGGUUGCAAAAGAAGUAGGUAGCUUAACCUUCGGGAGGGCGCUUACCACUUUGUGAUUCAUGACUGGGGUGAAGUCGUAACAAGGUAACCGUAGGGGAACCUGCGGUUGGAUCACCUCCUUACCUUAAAG
rnacentral:rRNA from 1 species